rnacentral:lncRNA from 1 species
UUGGGCAGCUCUGCAGGCUGUGCUUCCCAUCCUACUGCAGAGCCUUGCACAGAGUGAGCUUGGCCUUGGCUCUAUACAGCGAUAAAACCAAACACCUUCUGAUUGUGGCUCUUUUCAAGUCUCCUGCUGUCAUAAGAUGACUUUUUUAACCCCGGUAGUUCUUUCAAUCAAACAUACAACACAGGUCUCUUUUAAAAGCUCCUGGACAGAUUCAGGACAUGCAGAUGUUGGGAUACAAGGACAGCAAUGCAGCAGCAAGGCAAGUUACAACAAGCACUCAGAGAUAAUGCCUGGUCUGGUGGACAUCUGCAGGUGAGUGAUCCAGGCUGCAGGCCUCUCCUGGAGUGGAGAAUAUGGUUUCUCAGUGUAGGGCCUGGGACAAGCUCCUAAUGCUGGGUUACACAACCUGGCAUCAGAAACACUCACUGCUCUUGCUUUCUAUGUGCUGGAAGGGCUAAAUCUAUCAAAGCUGCAGCUGGAAACAGCUUGGGAAAAUCCUGCAUCACAUUUGAAUGUCUGGGAUGAAAGGGUGCCAGCAUGCUUGCACAUCAUGCCAAGCUGAGCCAGCAGAGGCUCUCAAGUUUCUUCUGUCUUUGUACAAUUAAGGUCAUGCUCAGCAUUAAAGCACUGCUCAGAUCCCCAGACUUUGCAGCUGCACGGCCACACUGAAGAAGGUGCAGCUCCUUUGAACACCUCUAAGCCAGCUGUCAACUUAAGCCAUGCUUUUCAAGGGGCUGGGAACUGGCUGCAGGUCACUGCUGACUGAUCCCCUUGGUCUUCUGUGUCUCAGUGGUCCCUUUGCUGAGUGGAGUCAUGCCAGCAUUCUAGCCUAGCACAUGCAGUUAUUCCUCUCUUCUUGCCAUCAGCCAGCUCCCUACAGCAAAGCCUCCCAGUGAUGACAAGCAUCUUCCCCCAUCCUGCAGAAAGAGCGAGGGAGAAAGACAAUUAACAAAAUGAGAGACCUGCCAGAGUCUGGAAAAAGCACCCAUCUGGCAGGAUCUAGCAGCUCCACCCUCAGGGAAUCUGCAUUUCUGACAUUCAAUCUGCCUGCUUGAGGGAAUACCCUCCUAGAAUCAGCCACAAGCAGAGAGACUUGUGAGCCAGUUCUGUACAGCUUGGUCUAAGUAAGGGUCCUCCCAGCUCUAUCUCCAGCCAAACAAAAACAAAGGCUCUUUUCUUCUGAAAUAUACAGGAGGUCAUGAGCUAACCUGCAGCUGUAUUUUCAGCUCUGACACUGCUUUUCGGCUCUGCUGCUUGUGUUUGUGCUUGGCUGCUUCCUCCUUUCCAAAUUCAGAGGUGGGUUGCCUUUGUUUCCU